rnacentral:rRNA from 1 species
AGCGCAGGCGGUUCUCUAAGUCUGAUGUGAAAGCCCCCGGCUCAACCGGGGAGGGUCAUUGGAAACUGGAGAACUUGAGUGCAGAAGAGGAGAGUGGAAUUCCACGUGUAGCGGUGAAAUGCGUAGAUAUGUGGAGGAACACCAGUGGCGAAGGCGACUCUCUGGUCUGUAACUGACGCUGAGGCUCGAAAGCGUGGGAGCAAACA